GGAGGAGCAGCCGAAGGCCGGCGACGGCACCCGUCUUGAGUAUGGGUGGGUGUAAUGCCCUUGGAGGUUCGAUCCCUCUCUCCUCCG
rnacentral:tRNA from 1 species